UACAGAGGGUGCGAACGUUGCUCGGAAUUAUUGGGCGUAAAGCGCGUGUAGGCGGCUUGUUAAGUUAGUCGUGAAAGCCCACGGCUCAACCGUGGAAGUGCAACUAAUACUGGCAAGCUUGAGGGCUGUAGAGGCAGACGGAAUUCCGGGUGUAGCGGUGGAAUGCGUAGAGAUCCGGAGGAAGACCGGUGGCGAAGGCGGUCUGCUGGGCAGUUUCUGACACUGAGGCGCGACAGCGUGGGGAGCAAACAGG
rnacentral:rRNA from 1 species